rnacentral:rRNA from 1 species
GCUCCAAUAGCGUAUAUUAAAGUUCGCUGCAGUUAAAAAGCUCGUAGUUGGAUCUCGGUAUUAUUGUUGCCUGCUGGCUUUAGAGGCACUAGCUGGCCUAGCGGUGCAUGGGUGAGCCUGUGCAGCGUGGGGUCGGCGGCCUUGGGUCGGCGUGGCGGCGGUGAUACCUUUCAGCCAUGUCUGUGGUGCAAUAUCCACAGGUGUAGGCGAGUGCCAGGCGGUGCCCUGCAACUGUGGGGUUCGUCGGCUUGUCUGCAUGCCUACGGAUGCCCUUUAAAAGGUGUCUGUGGGCGGAUGGCACGUUUACUUUGAACAAAUUUGAGUGCUCAAACCAGGCCGAUGCUGCCUGAAAAGUUUUGCAUGGAAUAAUGGAAUAGGACUUCGGUUCUAUUUCGUUGGUUUCUUCGUGAUCCGAAGUAAUG